rnacentral:rRNA from 1 species
GUCUAGGGCCACACCACCCUGAACGCCCCCGAUCUCGUCUGGUCUCGGAAGCUAAGCAGGGUCGGGCCUGGUUAGUACUUGGAUGGGAGACCGCCCGGAAUACCGGGUGCCCGUAGGGC